CCCUCCUCUCUUCUCGCUCUGCUUCCUGGCUGCUGUGGGGUGAGCAGCUUUCCUCCACCACGCCUUUCCACGGUGCCAUUCCUGCCUCAGAGGAUGUCUUUAGCUGAUGUAAUGUUACCCCGGAGCACCCAGUAUCACUAGAUCAUGAAGGCCUCAACUGUGACCGGAGGGAGAUGGAAUUAUUUCUGCAUACCACAGCCCGCUCACAGGAGACAAAUUCUAACCAGACCAACCAUAGAGAAGAAACUGAGAAAGUGGUCAAAUGCCUCUUGACUCCAACACACAAGACCCAGGGACUAGUUUGUGACGUGGAGCCCUGGUGUCUGGGGUCUGAGGAUGACGACUACCAUCCCCCACCCCCACCCCCGUCAGGA
ensembl:lncRNA